rnacentral:rRNA from 1 species
GAUAAACGCUGGCGGUGUGCUUUAUGCAUGCAAGUCGAACGGGUUCCGCAAGGAAUCAGUGGCAGACGGGUGAGCAACACGUAAGUGACCUACCCUAAAGUGGGGAACAACUCCUAGAAAUGGGAGCUAAUACCGCAUGUGAUCCUGGUUUUUAACUAUCAGGAUUAAAGCCGUAAGGCGCUUUUGGAGGGGCUUGCGUCCGAUUAGAUAGUUGGUGAGGUAACGGCCCACCAAGUCGACGAUCGGUAGCUGGUUUGAGAGGACGACCAGCCACACGGGGACUGAGACACGGCCCCGACUCCUACGGGAGGCAGCAGCAAGGAAUAUUGGGCAAUGGGCGAAAGCCUGACCCAGCGACACCGCGUGGGGGAAGAAGACCUUCGGGUUGUAAACUCCUUUUAUUGGGGAAGAAUAAUGACGGUACCCAAUGAAUAAGCCCCGGCUAACUACGUGCCAGCCGCCGCCGUAACAC